rnacentral:rRNA from 1 species
AUACGGAGGGUGCAAGCGUUAAUCGGAAUUACUGGGCGUAAAGCGUACGUAGGCGGUUAUUUAAGUCAGAUGUGAAAGCCCCGGGCUUAACUUGGGAACUGCAUUUGAAACUGGGUAACUAGAGUUUAGUAGAGGGGAGUGGAAUUUCAGGUGUAGCGGUGAAAUGCGUAGAGAUCUGAAGGAACACCUGUGGCGAAGGCGACUCCCUGGACUAAAACUGACGCUGAGGUACGAAAGCGUGGGUAGCAAACAGGAUUAGAAACCCUAGUAGUCC